AGCGAACGCUGGCGGCAGGCCUAACACAUGCAAGUCGAACGAACCUUUCGGGGUUAGUGGCGGACGGGUGAGUAACACGUGGGAACGUGCCUUUAGGUUCGGAAUAACUCAGGGAAACUUGUGCUAAUACCGAAUGUGCCCUUCGGGGGAAAGAUUUAUCGCCUUUAGAGCGGCCCGCGUCUGAUUAGCUAGUUGGUUGAGGUAAUGGCUCACCAAGGCGACGAUCAGUAGCUGGUCUGAGAGGAUGAUCAGCCACAUUGGGACUGAGACACGGCCCAAACUCCUACGGGAGACAGCAGUGGGGAAUCUUGCGCAAUGGGCGAAAGCCUGACGCAGCCAUGCCGCGUGAAUGAUGAAGGUCUUAGGAUUGUAAAAUUCUUUCACCGGGGACGAUAAUGACGGUACCCGGAGAAGAAGCCCCGGCUAACUUCGUG
rnacentral:rRNA from 1 species